rnacentral:rRNA from 1 species
UACGUAGGGCGCAAGCGUUGUCCGGAAUUAUUGGGCGUAAAGAGCUCGUAGGCGGUUUGUCGCGUCUGCUGUGAAAACCUAAGGCUCAACCUUGGGCUUGCAGUGGGUACGGGCAGACUAGAGUGCGGUAGGGGGUGACUGGAAUUCCUGGUGUAGCGGUGAAAUGCGCAGAUAUCAGGAGGAACACCCGAUGGCGAAGGCAGGUCUCUGGGCCGAUACUGACGCUGGAGGAGCGAAAGCGUCGGGGAGC